GAUGAAGAACGUAGCGAAAUGCGAUACUUGGUGUGAAUUGCAGAAUCCCGUGAACCAUCGAGUCUUUGAACGCAAGUUGCGCCCGAAGCCAUCAGGUUGAGGGCACGUCUGCCUGGGCGUCACAUAUCGUUGCCCAAUGCCUAUUGCAGUGCAAUAGGAAUUUCUAGGGCGAAUGAUGGCUUCCCGUGAGCGUUGUUGCCUCGCGGUUGGUUGAAAAUCGAGUCCUUGGUAGGGUGUGCCAUGGUAGAUGGUGGUCGAGUUAGAACGAUACCGAUCAUGUGCAUGCUCCCCAAAAUAUGGCCUCUAUGACCCACACGCGUCUUUUGACGCUCAUGACGAGACCUCAGGUCAGGCGGGGCUACCCGCUGAAUUUAAGCAUAUCAAUAAGCGGAA
rnacentral:misc_RNA from 1 species